UUGUUUAUUUGUCAUCUGCUUCCUUGUUUUUACUUCAGCUCGCCACAGAGCAGAUUCAGAGCUGCUCGUUUUGGUUUUACUAUUUCCGCUGUCCAACUACCUCACAGAACAUGUUGAAGGACGGAGUGCUCACAAAUGUGCCUUUUGGAUGGGCUGCGGGUGGAAACCUAACUACGUUGUGCCCCAACGGGUCCAAAUGGGUCUGGGAAGGUCUUGGAGAAUGCGCCCAGGAUGCAAGGGACAUGGCCAGUGUCUACCUGGGCCUACUGUCUAUCCUCUGCUUCAUGAUGUCCUCGCUGCCGCAGUAUUACAGUUCGUGCAAAACGGGAAAUAUGGACAGCGCUCUCUCCAUUUGGUUUCUGCUCCUGUGGUUGGGAGGUGACACGUGCAAUCUGGUGGGAUCCUUUCUGGCAGACCAGCUUCCACUUCAGACAUACACUGCUGUUUACUAUGUUUUGGCGGACUUGUUAAUGUUGGCCAUGUAUUCAUACUACAAGGUGAAGAACAGAAUGGUUGAAAACAGGAGGGUUUUGCACGUGUUGGGUGUAGCAUGCGUCCUGGGCUUCACUACAAGUUUCGCCAACGUUCCAGGGUUGCUCCCCACUCAACAGGAAGUCUCCUUGGCACACAAGGGGCGGACGCUGCUCUCAAGCGCAGAUGUUGGCGCGUCUUUUACCCCCAAAGAAAUCAUCGGCUUCUCCAUUGGCUCUGUGUCAUCAGUGCUCUACCUCUUUUCCAGACUUCCGCAGAUUUACACUAAUUUCAAGAGGAAGUCAACCAAGGGGGUCUCUUUCUUCCUGUUUGCUCUGGUAAUCCUUGGAAACACGACAUACGGCCUGAGUGUGCUGAUGAAGAACCCUGACCAGGGUCAAGGAGAAAACAGCUACGUGAUCCAUCACCUGCCCUGGCUCAUCGGAAGCCUCGGAACGCUUGUCCUGGACCUCUUUAUCUCCGUGCAGUUCUUUAGCUACCGCAAAGCUGCAGACAGGCUGGACGUCAGCACCUCAGAGACGACGCCUCUAAUGGGGGGCUAGAAUGUUCCGCAAGCCACUCCUACAUUUAUUGCCUCUAACAAAAAAUCGCCAAAAAGGCAGCCCCAUGGUGACCUCUUCAAACAUGCACUUUGCCACUAAGCAAGCACACAUGCACACAAACGGUAAGAGCCCACCCGCUUAGGGUGUAAGGUCAAUGUAAAAAUGAGGCUUCUCUGUGUGUGUUGUGUGGUUGUGAAACAGUGGCAAAAGAGAUUGCGAUGACCGCUUUGUAGGAGUCAGUGAGGGCAAGCGCCCAUCCAUCACCAAGGUUGAACAGAGGCAAUUUAUAAACACAACUCUAGCGGGAAUUUCUUAAUGAGACUCUUUCAGCCAAUACAAACUGAUGGGAUAUCUUGUGAGUCACCCUUGAACCAAGAAAUAAACUUAGAUCUAAUGUUCUUUUAAUGCAGUAUGUGUGCAAAUUAGUGUUUUCAUGCACAAAUUCAAUUUCUUUCUCUUCCCAUCACUGUUCAAGUCAAAAAUGUUUUUUUUGCCCAACAAGCCUGACGUUUAGUGACAAAUUUGCUUUUGCUGACAAAACAAUGACAUCUGGUGGAUCUGCUGCCUUUAUGCAGAGUCACCAGUUGUUUACAUUCCUCCUGCUGAUAAACACGUUGACAUCUUCAGCUAUCGUAACGUUUCCUCAGCAAACACUCAAGGCCAACCAGCUAUGAUAAAAAUAAACAGAAACAAACAUGA